CCUCAUCCGAAAGGUGAGGGAUCAUUCAUUCAUUCCUUCUUUUAAAAAUUAUCAUUAUUUUAUUUUACAUAAAAUAAUAUAUUAAAUAGCAUAAAAUAAUUAUAAAAUUAUUUUAAUAUAUGUAUUAUAUAAAUAGAUCUAGUUAGUUUGUUUUUUGAGACAGGGUUUCUUGGUGUAUCCCUGGCUAUCCUAAACUCACUCUGUAGACCAGGCUGGCCUCAGACUCACAGAGAUCCACCGCCUCUGCCUCUCAAGUGCUUGGACUAAAGGUGUGCACCACCACUGCCCAGCUAAAACAGUAUUUUUAAUCCCGCAUCUCUGUGUGGGUUUGCGCAUGGGAGUGCAGUGCGUUCGGGUGCCCUGGAGCUGGAGUUAAAGGGCCCUGUGAGCCGCUUACUGUGGGUGCUGGGAAUGGGUCCUCUGGAAGAACAGUAUGCGCUCUGACCUGAGACAGCGUCUUCCUGUGUAGCCUAGGGUGGAUUGUAGCCAAGACGGAGAUUUCUAGCCUCUUACCUCUGCCAGAACCUUUGUUCUCGAGUAACUGACGGGAGAAACACACGGACUCGGCUCCUUCGUAACUCAUGCAAUAGCAUCUUGAUGGUAGCUCGGUGUGUCCGUCAUAAAGUGGUUCACACCACAGCAUCUGGUAGAACUGUGACUUUGUCAGCCCACUGGGGAGGAUGGGUGUUCAGUUUUCAGCCCUCACAGCAGGCUGCUCAUGGCCAGGAGAAUCCCACUCCCCCUUCUGGCAUCCAAAGGCACCAGACACGCGUGUGGGAUAUACAUGCAUGCAGGCACUCACACAUAUAUAUAAAAUAAAAACAACCGUUAAAAAAAAAAAA
rnacentral:lncRNA from 1 species